UACGAAGGGGGCGAGCGUUGUUCGGAAUCACUGGGCGUAAAGGGCGCGUAGGCGGCCCUCCUUGUCGCGUGUGAAAGCCCCGGGCUCAACCUGGGAACGGCGCGCGAGACGGGGGGGCUGGAGUUCGGGAGAGGAGCGUGGAAUUCCCAGUGUAGAGGUGAAAUUCGUAGAUAUUGGGAGGAACACCAGAGGCGAAAGCGGCGACCUGGACAGGUACUGACACUCAACUACGAAAGCGUGGGGAGCAAACAGG
rnacentral:rRNA from 1 species